UUCUAUGUGCGGGACAGCAGGUGGGGUAAUAUGAAGGGUGCAAUCGUUAAUCGGAAUUAGUGGGCUGAAAGCGUGCGUAGUGGGUUAUUUAAGUCUGCGGUGAAAUCCCCGGGCUCAACCUGGGAAUGGCAGUGGAUACUGGAGAGCUAGAGUGUGAUAGAGGAUGGUGGAAUUCCCGGUGUAGCGGUGAAAUGCGUAGAGAUCGGGAGGAACAUCAGUGGCGAAGGCGGCCAUCUGGAUCAACACUGACGCUGAGGCACGAAAGCGUGGGGAGCAAACAGGAUUAGAUACCCUUGUAGUC
rnacentral:rRNA from 1 species